rnacentral:misc_RNA from 1 species
GAUGAAGAACGCAGCGAAAUGCGAUAAGUAAUGUGAAUUGCAGAAUUCAGUGAAUCAUCGAAUCUUUGAACGCACAUUGCGCCCGCCAGUAUUCUGGCGGGCAUGCCUGUUCGAGCGUCAUUACAACCCUCAGGCCCCCGGGCCUGGCGUUGGGGAUCGGCGGAGCCCCCCGUGGGCACACGCCGUCCCCCAAAUACAGUGGCGGUCCCGCCGCAGCUUCCAUCGCGUAGUAGCUAACACCUCGCGACUGGAGAGCGGCGCGGCCACGCCGUAAAACACCCAACUCUUCUGAAGUUGACCUCGGAUCAGGUAGGAAUACCCGCUGAACUUAAGCAUAUCAUAAGCGGAGGA